rnacentral:rRNA from 1 species
GAUGAACGCUAGCGGCAGGCUUAAUACAUGCAAGUCGAGGGGCAGCACGGGUAGCAAUACCUGGUGGCGACCGGCAAACGGGUGCGGAACACGUACGCAACUUUCCCAAAACUGGUGAAUAGCCCUCCGAAAGGAGGAUUAAUACACCGUAACAUAAUGAAGUGGCAUCACUUUAUUAUUAUAGCUCCGGCGGUUUUGGAUGGGCGUGCGCCUGAUUAGGUAGUUGGCGGGUAACGGCCCACCAAGCCUUCGAUCAGUAACUGGUGUGAGAGCACGACCAGUCACACGGGCACUGAGACACGGGCCCGACUCCUACGGGAGGCAGCAGUGGGGAAUAUUGGACGAAUAGGGCGGAAAGACCUGAUCCAGCAAUAGCC